rfam:Triticum aestivum genome assembly, contig: Triticum_aestivum_CS42_TGACv1_scaffold_339856_4BS
AAAGUACUCCCUCCAUCCCAAAAUUCUUGUCUUGGAUUUGUCUAGAUACGGAUGUAUCAAGUCACAUUUUAGUAUUAGAUACAUCCGUAUCUAGACAAAUCUAAGACAAGAAAUUUGGGCCAGUGGGAGUAGUUG